GACGAACGCUGGCGGCGUGCUUAACACAUGCAAGUCGAACGGAAAGGCCCUGCUUUUGUGGGGGUGCUCGAGUGGCGAACGGGUGAGUAACACGUGAGUAACCUGCCCUUGACUUUGGGAUAACUUCAGGAAACUGGGGCUAAUACCGGAUAGGAGCUCCUGCUGCGGGGGGGGGGUUGGAAAGUUUCGGCGGUGGGGGUUUGACUGGCGGCUUAUGAGCUUGUUGGUGGGGUAGUGGCUUACCAAGGCUUGGACGGGGAGCCGGCCUGAGAGGGUGGGCGGCCCCAUUGCGCCUGGGCUGCGGCCCAGACUCCUCCGGGAGGGAACGGUGGGGAAUGUUGCACUAUGGGCGGAGCCCUGAUGCAGCCCCGCAGCGUGCGGGAUGACGGCCUUCGGGUUGUAUUCCGCUUUCGCCUGUGCCGAGGCGUGAGUGACGGUAAUGGGUAAAGAAGCACCGGCUAACUACGUG
rnacentral:rRNA from 1 species